rnacentral:rRNA from 1 species
CGGACGGGUGAGUAACACGUGGAUAACCUACCUAUAAGACUGGGAUAACUUCGGGAAACCGGAGCUAAUACCGGAUAANAUUUUGAACCGCAUGGUUCAAAAGUGAAAGACGGUCUUGCUGUCACUUAUAGAUGGAUCCGCGCUGCAUUAGCUAGUUGGUAAGGUAACGGCUUACCAAGGCAACGAUGCAUAGCCGACCUGAGAGGGUGAUCGGCCACACUGGAACUGAGACACGGUCCAGACUCCUACGGGAGGCAGCAGGU